GGCGAGCCUGAAAGGCGCUCACACCGCGGCGGCCGCGGCCGGCCGGUCCCCGCAGGCUGGUCUCCGAGGGAGGGACUCAGUUAAUAUUGUCAAGAUAACUAGCCAUUUUUCUGCAAAUUGAGUAAGAUCUACACUCAACAUGUGGCUGAAACUCAUGACUCCGAGAUCAAGAGUAGCAUGCUCUCCCAACUGAGCCAGUCAGAAGCUCUGAUAAUCUUUCUUUUGAAUUGAUGUGUUACUAGUAAUAUGUCAUUUGAAUGAUCUGUCCUUUUUAAAGAGUCCUUGUAAUUGUUUCUGAACAAUCCUAACUUCGUGUAUGUAUGGGUG